GACGAACGCUGGCGGCGUGCCUAAUACAUGCAAGUAGAACGCACAGUUUAUACCGUAGCUUGCUACACCAUAGACUGUGAGUUGCGAACGGGUGAGUAACGCGUAGGUAACCUGCCUGGUAGCGGGGGAUAACUAUUGGCAACGAUAGCUAAUACCGCAUAAUAUUGAUUAUUGCAUGAUAAUUGAUUGAAAGAUGCUAUUGCAUCACUACCAGAUGGACCUGCGUUGUAUUAGCUAGUAGGUGAGGUAACGGCUCACCUAGGCGACGAUACAUAGCCGACCUGGGAGGGUGAUCGGCCACACUGGGACUGAGACACGGCCCAGACUCCUACGGGAGGCAGCAGUAGGGAAUCUUCGGCAAUGGACGAAAGUCUGACCGAGCAACGCCGCGUGAGUGAAGAAGGUUUUCGGAUCGUAAAGCUCUGUUGUAAGAGAAGAACGGGUGUGAGAGUGGAAAGUUCACACUGUGACGGUAUCUUACCAGAAAGGGACGGCUAACUACGU
rnacentral:rRNA from 1 species